UGGCUCAGUGGUUAAGAGCACUGACUGAUGUUCCAGAGGACCUGGGUUCAAUCCCCAG
rnacentral:tRNA from 1 species